rnacentral:rRNA from 1 species
UAAUGCCGGAUGCUCCGACAUGACGCAUGUCGUGUCGGGAAAGAUUCAUCGGUAUGGGAUGGGGUCGCGUCCUAUCAGCUUGAUGGCGGGGUAACGGCCCACCAUGGCUUCGACGGGUAGCCGGCCUGAGAGGGCGACCGGCCACAUUGGGACUGAGAUACGGCCCAGACUCCUACGGGAGGCAGCAGUGGGGAAUAUUGCACAAUGGGCGCAAGCCUGAUGCAGCGACGCCGCGUGCGGGAUGACGGCCUUCGGGUUGUAAACCGCUUUUGACUGGGAGCAAGCCCUUCGGGGUGAGUGUACCUUUCGAAUAAGCACCGGCUAACUACGUGCCAGCAGCCGCGGUAAUACGUAGGGUGCAAGCGUUAUCCGGAAUUAUUGGGCGUAAAGGGCUCGUAGGCGGUUCGUCGCGUCCGGUGUGAAAGUCCAUCGCUUAACGGUGGAUCCGCGCCGGGUACGGGCGGGCUUGAGUGCGGUAGGGGAGACUGGAAUUCCCGGUGUAACGGUGGAAUGUGUAGAUAUC